AUGCCCACGGCCAGGGCCACCACUGAAGGGCAAUCUUCUGCUACUAGGCCUCUUGCCACUGCCUCCCCAGCUGGAUUCAAAGCUGCAGGAAUACUCCAGGCCCUCCAGGUGUCAAAGCUGGGCUUUACUUGCUGCUCUCCUUACCUUCUGCACUACCAGUCUCACCCUUCCUUCAAACCAAGUUAAGAGAGGGGGACUCUGCUAUUUCUGGUUGACCUUAUCCUGUGUUUUGUAAGGAUCUGGAGUUGCACAGGUGGAGGAAGUGGUCGGAGGAGAGGAGAAAGUUACGGAAACAGCUGCUGUGGGAGAAGCACUUCACUCCCUCUCUGCUCCAUAGUCUGUGCUAAAAUCCAAGUGGGAAAUGGAAAUGGGGAGUUAUGCUAUUUCCAGGUUUCUGUUGGGGGCCUUUCCAUGCUGAAACCAAAUCAUAGGAUGUAAGACAGGGACACUCCAGUUUCCUUCUAAAGUGGUGGCAGGACCAUUUAUUCAUGUAAAUCCUGACAGGGUUAAUUGAAUUGUUUCGACACUCGUUAGGUGAAUGUGGAGGAGAUGGGUGUGUGCCUGCUCUCCUGCUCUGUUUCCCUCACAUCCCUCUCCCAUUGUUAUCUUCUUAAUUUCACAUUUUUCAGUCAUGGUGGGGGUGUGGGGAACAAUCAUUCCCAGUUACUACCAACCAUAAGUACAAACUGAAUGCAGACUGCUCCUCAAUCACUGAGCACUGAUUUUACCCAACAAUAUUGGACCACUCCAGGAUGGGAGCCAUCAUUCAAAGUGUCCCCCAGAAAGUUGCCACUGGAAAUAUAUGAAUACUGAUUUGUGUGUGUGUGUGUGUGUGUGUGUGUGUGUGUGUGNNNNNNNNNNNNNNNNNNNNNNNNNNNNNGCUGUAGCUGCCAGCCUACGCCAGAGCCACAGCAACGCAGGAUCCGAGCCGCGUCUGCGAGCUACACCACAGCUCACGGCAACGCCGGAACCCUGACCCACUGAGCAAGGGCAGGGAUCGAACCCGCAACGGGAACUCCUGAAUACUGAUUUUUUUAAUUGAAGUAUAAUUGAUUUACAAUGUUAUAUUAAUUUCUGAUGUAUAGCAAAGUGAUUCAUAUAUAUAUAUAUAUAUAUAUAUAUAUAUAUAUAUCCCAUUAUAGGUUACAACAAGAUACUGAAUAUAGUUCCCUGUGCUACACAGUAGGACUUGUUGUUCAUAUAUUUUAUAUAUAGUAGCUUGUAUCUACUAAUCCCAAACUCCUAAUUUAUCCUUCCCUUCUUGACUAUAUUUUUAGAAACAAAUAAACUUAAAAAAAAAAAAAAAACGGAGUUCCCG
rnacentral:lncRNA from 1 species